rnacentral:rRNA from 1 species
AACGAACGCUGGCGGCAGGCCUAACACAUGCAAGUCGAACGCUCCGCAAGGGGAGUGGCGCACGGGUGAGUAACACGUGGGAACCUACCUUCUGGUACGGAACAACCAAGGGAAACUUUGGCUAAGACCGUAUACGACCUCCGGGUGAAAGAUUGAUCGCCGGAAGAGGGGCCCGCGUCCGAUUAGGUAGUUGGUGAGGUAACGGCUCACCAAGCCUUCGAUCGGUAGCUGGUCUGAGAGGAUGACCAGCCACACUGGGACUGAGACACGGCCCAGACUCCUACGGGAGGCAGCAGUGGGGAAUAUUGGACAAUGGGCGCAAGGCCUGAUCCAGCCAUGCCGCGUGAGUGAUGAAGGCCU